AGGGGUAUUUUGGUCCAAAUUGGC
rnacentral:siRNA from 1 species